CUCUCAAACCCUUCCUCAUGUCCCGAUCUGCCGCGCCUCGCCCUGGAUCGCCCCGCUCCGCCGCUCCCCUGCGCGCCCAGCUUCGUCGCUCCCCUGCGCGCCUUGCUCCACCGCUCCCCUGACCGCCCAGCUCCGCCCCUCCCCUGCGCGCCUCACUCCGUUGCUCCCCUGCCCGCCCAACUCCGCUGCUCCCCUGCUCGCCCAGCUCUGCCGCUACCCUGCUCGCCCCGCUCCGCCACUCCCCUUCUGUUUCUCCUUCUCCACUGCAUCCCUGACCUAGUCACACCAUGGUCGCGACGGGCGCGGUGGCCCUGGCCACGCCGGCUGGGUGACGGCUUGGUGUUGCUCGUGGUGACUCCAUCUGCGAUGCCCUCGAAUUGUGCUAACUGUGCCGCCCUUGACCGUGGUGGCGGUGCCGCCCUUGCUGAUUGGACGAUGACUGAAUCUGCCUAUUGUUGUACGCCGCUGCUCCUGUCCAAAAGAAACUGACUGGUGUCGAGUGUUGUUUUCUUGAAGAAAAUUUCCCUGUUCAUGGUGUCGAAACAACAAUUGUGUCAAAGCAACAUAUAACAAAGACAUUGCUCAGCUGGAAUCAAGUAGAAUCACACGUUACAGGAUGAAAAUUGGAAGAAAAGCAUCUCGACUUGCUGUAGCCAUCAAACCAGCGCCUGCUGCUCGAAACACUAGUGCUGCUAAUGGCACUUACGAUGGGUACGUAAAAGAAGUUUCAGAUCUUCCUCCUGCUAUUCCAAAUAAUGAAGACCUUCCAAUUAUUCGACCCUUUGGCAAGACGCAUUGGAAGGACAUUUCCGUUGUUCGAAAGGGUAGGCGACUAGCAAGUGUAUUAACAUGCCUUUUGAAAAGUAACCAUCCAGGUAUUUUGGAUUAUGAUGGUGUGAAGGUUAUUGCAACGGAGUGGGAGCAUUAUCAUGCGGUGAAGGACACAAAUGGUCAUUCUGUUACAGACAAAAAUGGAGAUGCUUUUUGGCUAAGGUACAAGUAUGAAGAUGCAUACUUAGAGAAGACAAAGCAACAUGUUCGAAGAUGUUGCAGGUCACUUUUGCCAAGUAUAUUUUACUAUGCAAGAAUCCAAGCCAUAAUUGAUCAUUUUUGGAAAACUGAGAACACUAGCAUGAGUGACAAGCUUGCUGGGCAAUACUGUUUGGAUAGAGCUCAAUAUUUGGCACAAAGGCAAGGUUGGUUUGGAAAAGAAGCUUGGAUUGUUGUAGUUGAUGAGUAGUGCAGUGAAGAGUGGAUUGCAAAAUCCAAGAAAUACCGUGCCAAUCAUUUCAGCUCAAAGUUCAAGCCUCUCAAAGGUGGUUCCAACUCCAUGACUACUAUAAGUCAAAAAAUGUCCGAGGAAACGGGCGAAGAAGUUAACCAGAUUCAGGCCUGGGUGCAUACACACAGAGCAGUGGACAAGAGCACACCUUUAAUUCUCAACACACCAGAAGCAACUAAAUGUUUGGCGUUUUACAAAGAAAAGGCUAAAGAGUUAAAUGGACAGGACUAUGAUAUUCUAAAAAAUGAUGUUAGUUCUCAAGCACUUUAUGAUUGCUCUAAUGGGAAGCCACAUGGUACAUGGUUUCUCUUUAAUGGCAUUGUCAAUGACAUCGAGGUCAUUUCCGAGGUGAGAGCUAUUGGUACAUCUUCAGCAGCCUUGAAGCAUCAUCGAUCUAAAGAAAUUGAAGAUGUGCGUAGAAAGGAGUCUGAGAAGACUAAAAAAGUAGAGGCUUAUGCCAACAAUCUCUUGUCAUGGGGUGUUGGCAUGUACGAGCACUACAAUGGGAUACAUAAGUUUCUUCAGACUUUGGCAACUAACCAAGGUGUGCCUAUUAGAAAAUACCACCGCCGCCAGUUCCACCUCCUUCUCGUUCACUUUCUCCUCCUGGAUCUCCACAACGAUCUACUAUCUAAGUUCUAGAAAAUAGCAAAGAACCGCCAGCUUUGUGUGCCCAACAAGAAACAAAUCCCAGCUCUUUUCAUGAACAUGGUGUUGCCUCAAGUGUUCCUACUGCAAGUGUCCCCGCUGUAGACGAUGAUGGGAUGUUUGGGGGAUUUUCAGUCAAUCUAGAGCUGGCGCACUGAGCCUAUCACUAUUGAGCAGCCAGUUGGUUCCUUGAUGUUCUUGGAUGUAUAGUGCGUGGAGUACAUUUAGGUGCAUGUAUAGUUAACAUGCUGGUACAUGUUCUGCGAUGUAGGAAACUAUAGUUGACCUACAUCAGUCUGUACAUGCUAAUUGAGAUGCUGAAUCAAUUAGAUCUAGCAAACUCUAGCUAGCAAGCCAAUGUUUUGUCAAAGUGUGAUGGCUGGUGAUGGCUGGUGGAUGUCUUGGCAUCUACUGUAUGCAUGUGACAAGUGAUAUCUAGAUGUAUAUAGUAAUUAUUUAACAUUA